GACGAACGCUGGCGGCGUGCUUAACACAUGCAAGUCGAGCGGUAAGGCCCUUUCGGGGGUACGACGAGCGGCGAACGGGUGAGUAACACGUGGGUGACCUGCCCUCAGCUCUGGGAUAAGCCUGGGAAACUGGGUCUAAUACCGGAUAUGACCCCAUAACGCAUGUCGUGGGGUGGAAAGCCUUGUGCGGCUGAGGAUGGGCCCGCGGCCUAUCAGCUUGUUGGUGGGGUGAUGGCCACCAAGGCGACGACGGUAGCCGGCCUGAGAGGGCGACCGGCCACACUGGGACUGAGACACGGCCCACGACUCCUACGGGAGGGCAGCAGUGGGGAAUCUUGCGCAAUGGGCGAAAGCCUGACGCAGCGACGCCGCGUGAGGGAUGACGGCCU
rnacentral:rRNA from 1 species